rnacentral:rRNA from 1 species
UUUUAUGGAGAGUUUGAUCCUGGCUCAGGAUGAACGCUGGCGGCGUGCCUAAUACAUGCAAGUCGAGCGAACGGACGAGAAGCUUGCUUCUCUGAUGUUAGCGGCGGACGGGGGAGUAACACGUGGAUAACCUACCUAUAAGACUGGGAUAACUUCGGGAAACCGGAGCUAAUACCGGAUAAUAUUUUGAACCGCAUGGUUCAAAAGUGAAAGACGGUCUUGCUGUCACUUAUAGAUGGAUCCGCGCUGCAUUAGCUAGUUGGUAAGGUAACGGCUUACCAAGGCAACGAUGCAUAGCCGACCUGAGAGGGUGAUCGGCCACACUGGAACUGAGACACGGUCCAGACUCCUACGGGAGGCAGCAGUAGGGAAUCUUCCGCAAUGGGCGAAAGCCUGACGGAGCAACGCCGCGUGAGUGAUGAAGGUCUUCGGAUCGUAAAACUCUGUUAUUAGGGAAGAACAUAUGUGUAAGUAACUGU